UACGUAGGGGGCAAGCGUUAUCCGGAUUUACUGGGUGUAAAGGGAGCGUAGACGGUGCAGCAAGUCUGAUGUGAAAGGUCGGGGCCCAACCCCGGGACUGCAUUGGAAACUGUUGAACUGGAGUACAGGAGAGGUAAGCGGAAUUCCUAGUGUAGCGGUGAAAUGCGUAGAUAUCACGAAGAACUCCGAUUGCGAAGGCAGCCUGCUGGACUGUAACUGACGCUGAUGCUCGAAAGUGUGGGUAUCAAACAGG
rnacentral:rRNA from 1 species